rnacentral:rRNA from 1 species
UUAGACCUCAAAUCAGGUGG